rnacentral:lncRNA from 1 species
ACAAGUCACAUGAAAUAAAAUUGCCAUUCAUCUCAAACAAUCAACAUCUUUACAUGUAAAUGUCAUCAAAAGGACUUUUCAAGGCUUGUAAUGAGGUUGGGCUAACAAGAAAAUUUGGUUUUUCUAGAAUGCAAAAUCCUUGAGUCAAGAGAACUAUCAAAAUAUUCAACAAUUAAGCACAACUCUCUCACCAAAAUUUCGCAUUCCCAACUUCUUCCCUUUUCUUUUCUUUUUCAUUGAGCUCAUCUUCAUGCUUUUCUUCUUUUCUUUUCUUUUUUUUUUCAUAAAUGUUUCUUUUUUCACAACAAUUGAGCUCAAUGCCUUUUACUUGCUUUUUCAGUUUUUCCCCGUACAACCCCAAACUUGAACCUUUUCAUCACAUAUAAUUUAAGCU